rnacentral:rRNA from 1 species
AGAGUUUGAUCCUGGCUCAGGACGAACGCUGGCGGCGUGCUUAACACAUGCAAGUCGAACGGAAAGGCCCUUCGGGGUACUCGGGUGGCGAACGGGUGAGUAACACGUGGGUGAUCUGCCCUGCACUUUGGGAUAAGCCUGGGAAACUGGGUCUAAUACCGAAUAGGACCACGCGCUUCAUGGUGUGUGGUGGAAAGCUUUUGCGGUGUGGGAUGGGCCCGCGGCCUAUCAGCUUGUUGGUGGGGUAAUGGCCUACCAAGGCGACGACGGGUAGCCGGCCUGAGAGGGUGACCGGCCACACUGGGACUGAGAUACGGCCCAGACUCCUACGGGAGGCAGCAGUGGGGAAUAUUGCACAAUGGGCGCAAGCCUGAUGCAGCGACGCCGCGUGAGGGAUGACGGCCUUCGGGUUGUAAACCUCUUUCAAUAGGGACGAAGCGUGAGUGACGGUACCUAUAGAAAAAGCACCGGCCAACUACGUGCCAGCAGCCGCGGUGAUACGUAGGGUGCGAGCGUUGUCCGGAAUUACUGGGCGUAAAGAGCUCGUAGGUGGUUUGUCGCGUUGUUCGUGAAAACUCACAGCUUAACUGUGGGCGUGCGGGCGAUACGGGCAGACUAGAGUACUGCAGGGGAGACUGGAAUUCCUGGUGUAGCGGUGGAAUGCGCAGAUAUCAGGAGGAACACCGGUGGCGAAGGCGGGUCUCUGGGCAGUAACUGACGCUGAGGAGCGAAAGCGUGGGGAGCGAACAGGAUUAGAUACCCUGGUAGUCC